rnacentral:snRNA from 1 species
UUUAUUACAGAAAAAUUAAAGAU